rnacentral:rRNA from 1 species
GGCGGGAUUACCCGCUGAGUU